UCUUUCCUCCAGCUCUCCCCUAAACGUCCUCCAGGCGCCGGUCUCUUCUUUCUGUCUUUUUGUUUCCCUCCGCCGAGUCGGCGCCACUGUGAAUUUCCGUUUCCGGCGGUGUCCAAGCGGACCUGCGAAGUCGUAGUCGUGAGCAGGUUACAGUUACUUUUUAUUGGUAAGUAGCCACUAUGGAAAGUAAGGACCAGAGAAACACAGAAAGAAAAACAGUGGACCCAAAGCUGCAAAGAAAAAGAAGCGGCAUCUGCAGGAUCUGCAGCUAGGAGACGAAGAAGAUGCCCAGAAGAGAAAUCCCAAAGCUUUGCAGUUCCGUCUGCUGUGGGGAUGGCGCGAUACUUUCACAGGACUCAGGAUUUGAAGACAAAAAAGCAUCAUAUUCCAGUGGUUGAUCAAACUCCACUAGAGCCCCCACCAAUAGUGGCAGUGGUGAUGGGGCCUCCAAAGUUGGAAAGACCUCUUUGAUAUAAUGCCUCAUUUGGAACUUCACCCAGUAGAAGUUUACCGAGAUCAGAGGCCCUGUGACGAUCGUGUCAGGUAGAAGAUGCUGCCGCAGACACAGAGUUGGCGUGACUGUUGUCAUCUGAGGGACAUACAUGUGUUUGUUGUUUUCUUGAAUGGAGCAUGUUAAAUAUUGUCAUAUCAUGUUAUCUCUCUUAUACUUUUACUAAGUUAGCUGUAACUUCAGAAAAGGGUAAGUUCCCAGAGAUAAGAAUGUGAUAUAUAUCUUAUCUUGACUGCUCUAUGGCUUUGCCAAGCAUGUUCCUUGGAAGGGCCUAGCAGGCCUGGUCACUGUGAACACAUCACUUAACACGUAUGUAUUUAACAAAUAGCACGUAUCUCCUAUGUGUCAGGUGCACAUGCUUGCCCUUAUGAAGCCACAUGCUGGUGGAAGUGCAUGUUUUCUCUUUUUCUUAUGAGAAUUUGCUUUGGGAGAUGGUGACCUUUCGAAGUUUGAGGGAAGAUGAAACAAACUUUCCGGUGGUAGAAUGGCAGUGCACACUCUGAAAUCUCUUGUUAUUGCAGUAACAUAGUUGGAUUGAGACUUUUUUCUUUGGAGCAUCCAUACUUUCUUUUCCUUUUUUUUAGACAGAGUCUUACUCUGUGGCACAGGCUAGAAUGCA